GGGGAUGUUUAGUUUUCGACAGGUUAGCUCUUUAAAAACUGCAAGCCGCUAAAGAAAUCUUAAGCGUAAAAUAUGGUUUCAAAAUUUAAACGGCAAUAAUAAUGUCCGUUAUGCAUACGCCUAAUUUAGGCCGGUAGCAUUAUCUUAAGAUAAUUUCUUCAAAGCGGAUUACUUAAGGUAUAUACAAAGCUUUGAUGCAAUAAUUUUAGUGUUGGUUGAUCUAAAAUUAUUUAAGACAACUCAAUCAAGUUUUAGUUUUCCUGCUAGUUUGGUUACAACUAAGACUUAAAAAUAUGCUAGCUAAGCUUGUAGAAGUUUUUGAGGAAACUUUCCCGGACGAGGGUGCAAUUCCCUCCAUCUCCACCA
rnacentral:tmRNA from 1 species